GCAGUCGAGCGGUAGAGAGGUGCUUGCACCUCUUGAGAGCGGCGGACGGGUGAGUAAAGCCUAGGAAUCUGCCUGGUAGUGGGGGAUAACGCUCGGAAACGGACGCUAAUACCGCAUACGUCCUACGGGAGAAAGCAGGGGACCUUCGGGCCUUGCGCUAUCAGAUGAGCCUAGGUCGGAUUAGCUAGUUGGUGAGGUAAUGGCUCACCAAGGCGACGAUCCGUAACUGGUCUGAGAGGAUGAUCAGUCACACUGGAACUGAGACACGGUCCAGACUCCUACGGGAGGCAGCAGUGGGGAAUAUUGGACAAUGGGCGAAAGCCUGAUCCAGCCAUGCCGCGUGUGUGAAGAAGGUCUUCGGAUUGUAAAGCACUUUAAGUUGGGAGGAAGGGCAUUAACCUAAUACGUUAGUGUUUUGACGUUACCGACAGAAUAAGCACCGGCUAACUCUGUGCCAGCAGCCGCGGUAAUACAGAGGGUGCAAGCGUUAAUCGGAAUUACUGGGCGUAAAGCGCGCGUAGGUGGUUCGUUAAGUUGGAUGUGAAAUCCCCGGGCUCAACCUGGGAACUGCAUUCAAAACUGUCGAGCUAGAGUAUGGUAGAGGGUGGUGGAAUUUCCUGUGUAGCGGUGAAAUGCGUAGAUAUAGGAAGGAACACCAGUGGC
rnacentral:rRNA from 1 species